rnacentral:lncRNA from 1 species
UUUUGUUUCAAUUUCAGCUCUGAUUUAAUUAUUUUCUGUCUUCUACUGCUUUUGGUGUUGAUUUGUUCUUCUUUUUCUAGGGCUUUUUUUCUUUUAAGGAAUGAACUUCAUGCAAUGAACUUUCCUCUUAGUGUCCCAGAGAUUUUGAUAUGCUGUAUCAGUGUUCUCUUUUACCUGUGAGAAUGUUUUUAUUUCAUCCUUGAUUUCUUCUACUAUCCAUUUAUCACUCAAUAGUGCAUUAUUUAAUCUCAACUUGAUACAGUAGCUUGUAUUUUUUAUUUUAUCAUUUAUUUCUAAUUUCAUUCCAUUGUGGUCUGAUAGAAUGCAAGGUAUUAUCUCUGCUUUUUUGUACUUACCAAGAGUUAUUUUGUAUAUAUGGCCUAUUUUAGAAAAGGAGCCAUUUGCUGCUGAAAAGAAAGUAUAUUUGCUGGUUGAUGGAUAAAAUAUUGUGUAUAUGUCUGUUAAGUCUAAAUUAUUGAUUGUAUUAUUUAGUUCUAUAGUUUCCUUAUUUAGUUUUUGUUUGGGAGAUCUGUCCAAUAGUGAGAGAACUGAAUAAAAGUCACCAAGUAUUAUUGCAUUGCAGUUUAUUUGGCUCUUGAAAUUGAGAAGGGUUUGUUUGAUGUAUAAAGAUGUUCCAUUGUUUGGGGCAUAAAUAUUUAUAACUUUUAUGUUCUGCUUAUAUACUUCCCUUAAGAAGUAUGAAAUGUCCUCCUUUGUCUCUUCUGAUUAACCUUGGUUUGAAGUCUGCUUUAUCUGAUAUGAAGAUGGAAACCUCUGCUUGUUGACACAAUCUAUAUGAGUGAUAAGUUUUCAACAUCCUUUCACCUUCAGCCUGUGGAUGUGUUUGCCAUGAGGUGAGUCUCUUGAAGACAAGAUAUUGCUUGGUCUUGCUGUUUAAUCCAAUCUACUAGUCUAUGUAUUUUGAUUGAUGAGUUUAGGCUGUUAACAUUCAAGGUUAUUACUGAGAUAUGGUAUGUAUGCUUUGUCAUGUUGAUUUAUUUCUGGUUUUUGAUUUGUCUUAGUUUCUCAUUUCUUUGGAUGUCCCUUUAGUGUAGAUCAUCCCUUUGUUGGUAAUCACUUUUUUUCUUCACUUUAUCCUCAUGGAAUAUUUUGUUGAGAAUGCUCUGUAGUGUAGGAUUUCUUCUUGUGAAUUGUUUUAAUAUAUAUAUUUUUUAUCAUGGAAGGUUUUCAUUUCAUCUUCAAAUCUGAAACUUAAUUUUGCUGGCCACAGAUGCCGCUGCCAUGCCCCGAGAUCUCUUCUCUGGGCAUGGUCUAUGCUACCUCAGAUGCUACUUCCACGCUACCUCUGUAAUCACUGCCGCUGAAUCUAAGGUAUCCUGUCAAUAAACUCCACCUGCACUGCUAUGCCAUUCCUGUUACCUUUGAUUCUACUGCUGCCAGGCUGAGGUUGCCUGAAUAUCUUCUUUCUGGGUGAUGCUGCCCUUACAGCUGCAACCCCCUGUUGCUGCCCCAGAUUCACCUGAAGCUGACACUGCUUCUGUCCCCAGAGAUUGCCAGGUGAUGCUGCCCCCACAGCUCCAGUUGCAGCUGCCACUGAUGCUGACAACAACCACCGCCCUACUGCUGCUAUGAUGGCCUAGAGGACUGCUAUAGGGAGACUCCAGGUUUGGUUGCACAUGGCUACACUGAUUUUGGGACACCAGCCAGGGCCUGGGGUCUGGGUGUUACCACCACAAGAGCCUCUGUCUGGGGAUUCCAGUUGGGACCUGCAGGUUCAAUGUGGGGGUGCCUGUGGGUUUGGAGGAGCCUGGGGUCUUCCUGCUAAGAGUGCUGGUGGCCCUUACUUGCUGCUGCAUCUCGGGGUUGCUCCUUUUCAUGAGUGUAUCCCUGGUGGCCUCUCUGCAAGUAGGAGCAGCACUGAGAUCUUGGGCAAGCAGGUGACUGAGCCUGAGGUAUCUGAAGCCCAGAUUGGUGGAAUAGUGACUGGGUUUCCAAUGGCUGAUGUGGGUUUGAUGAUUUUGAGAGAUGUCAGAGACAGGGAUAAGACACUGUUGAACACUGACAGAAACAGGUCAACUUUCCAGCAAGAUUCAUUUUAUUUUAUUUCUUGAUUCAUUAACAUCUCUACUAUAUUUGUUAUAGAAUUUUUUUAUGCACCAGUGUGUGGAGGACAAUGAUAUAUGAAUGGUGUUUUGUAUUUUCAUUGUAUUCUUAUGUCUUUAAUUUUUUCUCUUUGUUCCUAUUCUUCUACUUUCUUGUCUAUUUUCUUUCUAACUUUUCUCCAACCAACAGCCAAUCUCUAUCAAUUCCUAUUCCUUUCUUCCUGUGAAUUUUUACUUCUAGCUUCUCUCUUGCUUUCUUGCAAAUAUUGUGUACUACACUACCUCUGUACUCUCAUUCACCAUUUAAAAUUAUAAAACAUUUUAACAAAUUUUCUAUUUAUACUAUAGAUAGUUAUUGAACUCAUCAUUUUGGUUUAAUGCUAGAAAGCAGUAGACACCUUAGUGGGAGUUAUUAGGUUUAAGGACAUAUAUUGUCUACACUGGGUGCUGUUGAUAUUGGUCUCAUCAUUAAAAGUGAGGCACUGGAAACCUUCAGGAUCACUACAGGUCUACAGGGUAGAAAUUUAUGCUGCCUUAAAUCCAUACUCCUAGAUGGCAAAACACACCAACAACAUAUAAAAAUAAAAGGGGGAAUAAAGUGUCCCAAACAAACCAAGAUGCUUCAACAAAAGAAGCCACUGAUACAUAGUAGAAAAAUGUCUAAGAAGGAGUUCAGAUUGUUCAUAGUUAAAUUGAUAUGUGAAAUAAAGAAUAGUAUAAGGAGUGAAAUCAAAGAAAAUAUACAGGAAGUGAAAAAAAUCAAUAAAGAGUUAGAGAUUGUAGGGGAAAAAAAGCAGAAAUCCUCAAAAUGAAGGAAUCAGUAAACCAAAUUAUACAUUCAAUAGAAAGCAUCACCAACAGACUAGACCACUUGGAACAC